rnacentral:rRNA from 1 species
AUUGAACGCUGGCGGCAGGCCUAACACAUGCAAGUCGGACGGUAGCACAGAGGAGCUUGCUCCUCGGGUGACGAGUGGCGGACGGGUGAGUAAUGUCUGGGGAUCUGCCCGAUAGAGGGGGAUAACCACUGGAAACGGUGGCUAAUACCGCAUAACGUCGCAAGACCAAAGAGGGGGACCUUCGGGCCUCUCACUAUCGGAUGAACCCAGAUGGGAUUAGCUAGUAGGCGGGGUAAUGGCCCACCUAGGCGACGAUCCCUAGCUGGUCUGAGAGGAUGACCAGCCACACUGGAACUGAGACACGGUCCAGACUCCUACGGGAGGCAGCAGUGGGGAAUAUUGCACAAUGGGCGCAAGCCUGAUGCAGCCAUGCCGCGUGUAUGAAGAAGGCCUUCGGGUUGUAAAGUACUUUCAGCGGGGAGGAAGGCGGUGCGGUUAAUAACCGCGCCGAUUGACGUUACCCGCAGAAGAAGCACCGGCUAACUCCGUGCCAGCCGCCGCGGUAA